GCCGGGUGCGGUGGUGCACACCUGUAAUCCCAGCAGCUCCGGAGGCUGAGAUAGGAGGAUCGAGAGUUCAGAAGCCAGCCUCAGCAAAAGUGAUGUGCUAAGCAACUCAGUGAGACCCUGUCUAUA
rnacentral:sRNA from 1 species